rnacentral:lncRNA from 1 species
UGCUUGAGUAGACCUCAGGUUCAUGUCUUACCCAUAGGAAAUGAAACACAACAUUUUCAGGACAUGUUGAAUGUUGGAGAAUUGAGAACACUGCAGCCAUAGUACCUCUCAAAUAAUUAGCAUCAAGUGUCAUGGCCACAUGAAUCCGGUCCACGUCCAAAUUUCCGCAGGUCUCCCCAUUGCGGAACGCAUGGGCCUCACGGAACACAGAAUAAUUUGACCCAACCCGUCCAUCUGGCACAUCAGGUAGAAUGUUAAGAUGAACGUGAACGUCUGUAGUUGUAGUGGUCAAGGAGGUUUGAUGGAAAAGCAAGAGAGACAGGAGGCCAAGGAGAGGAAGAGAAGAUGAAAGGCUCCAAAAGGCCAUCCAGCUCUUUGCAUUUGAAGCAAUAAUA